rnacentral:rRNA from 1 species
GAUGAAUGCUGGCGGCGUGCCUAACACAUGCAAGUCGAGCGGCAGCGAGUUUUACACUGAAUUCUGGAAGCUUCUGAGUAGUACAGAAGAUUUAUUCAAGAGUUUUGUGUAAAAUGUCGGCGAGCGGCGGACGGCUGAGUAACGCGUAGGAAUUUGCCCCAAAGUGAGGAAUAACUGCCCGAAAGGGUAGCUAAUGCCGCAUAUGGUCUUCGGAUUAAAGCCUUCGGGCGCUUUGGGAGAAGCCUGCGUUGGAUUAGGUAGUUGGUAGGGUAAUGGCCUACCAAGCCGACGAUCCAUAGCUGGUCUGAGAGGAUGAUCAGCCAGACUGGAACUGAGACACGGUCCAGACUCCUACGGGAGGCAGCAGUGAGGAAUCUUCCACAACGGGCGAAAGCCUGAUGGAGCAACGCCGCGUGAAGGAUGAAGGCCUUCGGGUUGUAAACUUCUUUUAUGAGUGAAGAAUAUGACGGUAACUCAUGAAUAAGCACCGGCUAACUACGUG